rnacentral:lncRNA from 1 species
UUGUCACUACAAAACCAGGAAAAUCUACCAAGUCUGAUAUACUUUGAGUUCAUUUGACUACACUUCAUCUAAAUAAUCAAGUGAAAAUAAAAUGUAACUACCAUGAAAUAUUUUUAAAUUUAAGGAAGAGGUGACCAUAAGCCUUGUUAUCAGCACCUCCAAAAUAAACAUUCAGUCGAGACAAUGACCGACAUCAAACUUACCCAAAUUAGUCAAUUUAAGUCUUUACAGUUACCAUCGGUCUUCAAAUGUUCAUACAACGUUGUGUCACAGAAUAUGAAUUGAACAUUUAGCAUCCAUUUGUUUCACAUAAAACAUCUUCCAAAAAAAUAUUUUUCACAUUUCCUAAGAUUCGAAACAUUCAAAAAAAU